rnacentral:rRNA from 1 species
UACGUAGGGGGCGAGCGUUGUCCGGAUUUAUUGGGCGUAAAGAGCGUGUAGGCGGUUCGGUAAGUCUGUCGUGAAAUCCUGAGGCUCAACCUCGGGCGUGCGAUGGAUACUGCCGGGCUAGAGGGUGGUAGAGGCGAGUGGAAUUCCCGGUGUAGCGGUGAAAUGCGUAGAGAUCAGGAAGAACACCGGUGGCGAAAGCGCUCUGCUGGACCUUAACUGACACUGAGGGACGAAAGCUAGGGGAGCGAAUGGG